rnacentral:rRNA from 1 species
UACGAAGGGGGCUAGCGUUGCUCGGAAUUACUGGGCGUAAAGCGCGUGUAGGCGGCUUGGCAAGUCGGGUGUGAAAGCCCUGGGCUCAACCUAGGAAGUGCACUCGAAACUGCUUCGCUUGAGUGUCGGAGAGGAAAGCGGAAUUCUCGGUGUAGAGGUGAAAUUCGUAGAUAUCGAGAGGAACACCGGUGGCGAAGGCGGCUUUCUGGACGAUAACUGACGCUGAGACGGGAAAGCGUGGGGAGCAAACAGG